CUAACGCGUGAAGUUGACCGCCUGGGGAGUACGGNUCGCAAGAUUAAAACUCAAAGGAAUUGACGGGGACCCGCACAAGCGGUGGAUGAUGUGGAUUAAUUCGAUGCAACGCGAAAAACCUUACCUACCCUUGACAUGUCUGGAAUGCCGAAGAGAUUUGGCAGUGCUCGCAAGAGAACCGGAACACAGGUGCUGCAUGGCUGUCGUCAGCUCGUGUCGUGAGAUGUUGGGUUAAGUCCCGCAACGAGCGCAACCCUUGUCAUUAGUUGCUACGAAAGGGCACUCUAAUGAGACUGCCGGUGACAAACCGGAGGAAGGUGGGGAUGACGUCAAGUCCUCAUGGCCCUUAUGGGUAGGGCUUCAC
rnacentral:rRNA from 1 species